AGUGAACGCUGGCGGUAGGCCUAACACAUGCAAGUCGAACGGCAGCACAGUAAGAGCUUGCUCUUACGGGUGGCGAGUGGCGGACGGGUGAGGAAUACAUCGGAAUCUACUUUUUCGUGGGGGAUAACGUAGGGAAACUUACGCUAAUACCGCAUACGACCUACGGGUGAAAGCAGGGGAUCUUCGGACCUUGCGCGAUUGAAUGAGCCGAUGUCGGAUUAGCUAGUUGGCGGGGUAAAGGCCCACCAAGGCGACGAUCCGUAGCUGGUCUGAGAGGAUGAUCAGCCACACUGGAACUGAGACACGGUCCAGACUCCUACGGGAGGCAGCAGUGGGGAAUAUUGGACAGUGGGCGCAAGCCUGAUCCAGCCAUACCGCGUGGGUGAAGAAGGCCUUCGGGUUGUAAAGCCCUUUUGUUGGGAAAGAAAAGCAGCAGGUUAAUACCCCGCUGUUCCGACGGUACCCAAAGAAUAAGCACCGGCUAACUUCGU
rnacentral:rRNA from 1 species